UACAGAGGUGGCAAGCGUUGUUCGGAAUUACUGGGCGUAAAGGGCGCGUAGGCGGCCUUCUAAGUCAGACGUGAAAUCCCUCGGCUUAACCGGGGAACUGCGUCUGAUACUGGAUGGCUUGAGUUUGGGAGAGGGACGCGGAAUUCCAGGUGUAGCGGUGAAAUGCGUAGAUAUCUGGAGGAACACCGGUGGCGAAGGCGGCGUCCUGGACCAAUACUGACACUGAAACGCGAAAGCCAGGGGAGCAAACGGG
rnacentral:rRNA from 1 species